UGCCCCGCCCCGUCCGACAGGUGCUGCCCUCCGAGUCGCGGAUUCUGACGCGGAGCCUAACCGCUGCCCUCCUGAUCUGGCCCAUGCGUCUGGGUAGCCGGAGUUUAUCCUGGAGGAGCACGGGCUGCGCAGGUACAAAACUCAAAACAUGAACAACGAUAUAUAUUACCAAUGUUCAAAGCUGAUUUGGUUAGAACUGGAAUACAGUUGCCUACAACAUAUUCCAGAGGAAUUAGAAAAGUCAAAGUAAUGGAUAACAGAAAAGAUCCUCCAUUCUUCAAUGAAGAUAACAUGGGACCAUUUUACUACAGACUUCCUUUCUAUGAUACCAUGGAGCUCUUCGUUGAAACACUGACUGGAACAUGUUUUGAGCUGAGAGUUUCACGCUUUGAAGCUGUUAUUUCUGUGAAAGCAAAAAUUCGAAGAUUGGAAGGUAUUCCCAUCUGUCAGCAGCACUUAAUUUGGAAUAACAUGGAACUUGAAGAUGAUUAUUGCUUGAAUGAUUACAACAUUUCAGAAGGUUGUACCUUGAAGCUGGUUUUGGCUAUGCGUGGUGGACCUAUAAAUACUAGAAGAGUUCCUAUGGAAGAUCCACUUAGGGAGAUGGCUGAGUACAUGGAUUCCAGUCGAGAUGAGGUCUGGGAGAAGACCUCCUGCAAGAAACAAGUUACAUUUCUGGUAUACCGAGAAGGAGAUCAGUUGAAUUUCUUUCGUGUAGUAGACAGGGGAGAUGGCACUUUAACACCAUUAUCUGAAUCUUUAAGUGGUGGUUCUGUGUAUAAUUUGCAUACUGAUGAAGAUGAGGAAAUUGAGCCUUCUCCUUCUGGGCAACAGAUAAUUGAAAAUUCAAUAACUAUGAAUAAGAUGAAACUGCUGAAGGCUAAGAUGGAGAACAUGAAUCUCAGCAAAAAGCCUAAGAAACCUGUCAAGGUAAAACCUCGUCCACCUGUGGUUCCUCGACCUUCCAGUAGUUCCACGGCAGCUGCUCGCCACAGAUUGUUAAGGGUUCUCCCCCACAUUGGGCAGUCUUGUUUACCUUCUUCUGGGAACACAUAUCUGCCUGACUCAGCCAGCAAUGCCAUUUCAAGUUUGCCAGCUCUGCCCCCUGCUGAUAUAUCCAUUUCAUCUAUCGCUAGUGAUUUUAUUAAGGAAGACAAUAACUGGGAGAGUAACACACAGUCUCAUUCCAAUAGUGGCUUCAAACUACCACCUCAGAUACCCCCUAUGGAGUUUGAAAAUGACAAAGAGCUUGCUGAUUCUGUUCUCCAUCUUGGAUCAUCCCUACCUAGGCAGACAAAAAACUUUUCAGGAAAUUUGCCAUCUAAUAAUGAGGAUGACACUGUUUUAUUUCCAACUUCAGAAGAGUGUGUAACUGAAGAAUCGCUUCUACCUGAAGUGGGUUCGUUUGCUUCCUUUACCGAAGGAAAUGCUGAUGAAAAGAGCAGUGGCUUAGAAGGCACACAGAAGGUAAAUCCAGAAUUCUCACUCACUAAUGGUGAUAAAGGGUUGAAAGCUACAGAGCAGCAUCUUAAACAUGUUGCAAGAGUGUUGAGUGGUGAAUCAGUAGAAACUGCAGUUCUCGACCACCGUGAAUUAAGUCCUCACAAGAAUAGACUCUUAUCACCUCUUCACUGUUCUGCACCAAUGUCACUACAUAACUCUCUGGUGAAACCACAGAGACAGUCCAAAUGUUUUGAGUCUGGGAACCUCCAGUCUUCUGCUUCACAAAAUGUGCUUCGGUCGCUGGACAUUCGAAAUAUAACUGAUUCUUCUUUCUCUAGGACUACUUGCUUUCGAGCUGUUAAAGUCGAUUCACCUGGGAAAAGAUCUGAUAUUAUUUCUAAAGUUGAGGCUCGGGAUAUCACAGAAAUGGCUAACAAGGCAUCCAAAGAGCCUGCUGGUUGUGUAAAUAAUAUAGGUUUUCUUGCUUCGCUGGCCCAGAGCGCAAGCAGAGACAGCUUGCAGAGCACACAUGGGGCAGGCAGGCUUCGAACCUCUGGAAUUGGGCUGUUUACAAACCUCCAGCAUUUUCAGGAAGAAAGCCUUAGGAAAAGUUCUCCCCAGUUAGAACCUACAGAAUUUUUUUUAUCUGCCCGUGGUAUUGGAAUGAAUGGAAAUAAUACAGCAGCAGGGAAAAGAGUAGGAGAAUGUACUCAUCACCUCCCACCCGUGAAAGCCCCUAUUCAAACAAAGAAGAAAACAACAAAGCAUUGUUUUCUUUGUGGAAAGAAAACUGGACUGGCUACUAGCUACGAAUGCAGAUGUGGAAACAACUUCUGUGCAUCUCAUCGCUAUGCAGAAACUCACAGCUGCACCUAUGAUUACAAGAGUGCAGGGAGGAGAUACUUACAGGAGGCAAAUCCUGUGGUUAAUGCACCAAAACUUCCAAAAAUCUAACUCUUGCUCUGCACCUAAAUGUUCUGCCCGAGGAAUCGUAUUACAAUGACAGAAGAAAUGUUGUUUAGACUGCAUUAUUUUUGUUCGACUCCAAAAGAUUUGCCAAAGCAUAUAAUGCAUACUGUUGGAGAAUGAGAAUGCUACUGUAUUUGACAUCUUCAUUCUUUGGUGAAUCAAAAGUUUUAAAAGUAGUUUUAAAAACUUUAAACUAUAAUGGUUUAGCUUUGUUAUUGCAUGUCAUGUGUUAAGUAUUUUAUAUUUGAUAGUGCAAUUUUACUAGACAAGUCUUCAAAAGAUGCACUUUAGGAAGUUAACAUUGACUAUGUAACCAGCUUCCAUGUUGUACAGAAAUAAGCCUUCAUGUAAUGGCUCUACUCAAAUCUACAAUUUUUUUUGUGGGGGUGGGGUGGGUGGGGAUUUAAAACAAAUAUCCCAUACGUGAAAGUUUAUUGAGUUUACUGGCAAGUUCCUUUUUAUUUCAAGCUUUUUGUAAAAAAAGAACAUUUGGUUUUCCAGUGUGGUUUUAACACAUAUAUUUCUUCCAUAUUCAGACUGACAUUCAGAUAUGUAUCCAUUCUAUAAAACACAUCAUGUUAAUCAUAGUAUAUAUUUCUUAAAAUACUACUUUUUGAAUGGUAGUUUUAAAAUAGAUGAUGUCCCACUUGUUGCCAUUAAAUACAGAACCCAACUUUUCACUUUUUGAAAAAUGGCUAUACAGAAAACAAAAUCUCACAGCUUGGUUUGUUUUUCUUAUGUUGAGUGCUAUUACCAGGAGAAAUUCAAAUAAAUAUUCAAUUUCAUUAUGAUUUUGAUUAUUCACAAUAAUUUUUCUUUUAUAAAUACUUUAAAAUAAAACAGUUUAAUUAAAUAAAUCAGUAAUUUAUUCUACUUGGAAAAAAUGACUGUCAGUAUAAAAGAACGCUUUUAAGGUGUAAGGGCCCUGCUCCCCAGAUGUAGCUAAUAUACCAGCUUUUGGGAGGCCACUUGCUUUAUGGAAGCUUAGUUGAAUCUGAUGCUGAACCCCGGUAAAUAGCUGGCAGGCAACCCAAGUAGACUCUGCAACUCUAGUCCAACCCAAGUGGGAUCUGCACUGGUACCAGAAGGCUAAUUUAGGUGCUCCACAGGGCCACAGGGCCUCUUUCUCCAUGCAAGGCUGAAUGAAAUGAAGAGUUCCGUUACCCUUCCUCUGCUUCCUAGAAGAGAUUAAAUGUUGAGUGGAGAAAAAUUACUUCAGAGCAAGAAGGAAAUACAUUUACAAAAGGGAAAGGCCUCUCACUGCUGUGGUCUCUCCCGUUGUGGAGCACAGGCUCCAGACGCACAGCCUCAGCAGCCAUGGCUCACAGGCCCAGCCACUCCGCGGCAUGUGGGAUCCUCUCAGACCGGGGCACGAACCCGCGUCCCCUGCAUCGGCAGGCGGACUCUCAACCACUGCGCCACCAGGGAAGCCCAACAUUUUUUAAUAAUUAUAUAUUGUAUCAGAAAAAAAAUGUAACCCUAAGUAACUUAAGUUGAAAAUAAAAUAAAUUGAUAUAGGUUAAAAAAAACUGAUUGAAAAUUGCCAAGCAAGGGUACAUACAACAAAUAUCAUAAAAGUUGAUGUGAAUGACUGAAAUUUAGGAAAGAAGGUAUGAUGUUCUCAUUUUUCUUUGAAAAUUAUGUUAAACUUUCAAAGUGAUUAAUGAAAGUAAAUUACAUAGUUUUAGAAAAACUAUAUAAAGAUGAAAAAUGAAAGUAAAAAGGUCACCGUAUACCUCCCCCAAUCUCUUUUAAUAAUUUCUAUUUUAGUUUUUCUGGUAGUUACCGUCAUAACAGUAGCCAAUAUAAACAUUAUUUUUUGAUGCCCCAUUAUUACAGGUAAGGAAUUUAGCAUGAUAACUCAUUACUUCAAGACUGUACUUCCCAAUUUUUUAGUGCGUUAGUCUGCUCAUGCUGCCAUAACACAAAAUACCACAGACUGGGUGGCUUAAACAGAGAAAACUGUGAGAACAGAAAUUAAACAACAGAAAUUAAUUUUCUCACAGUUCUGGAGGCUUGAAGUCCCAGUUCAAGGGAUCCAGCAGGGUGGAUUUCUGGUAAGAUCUUUCUUCCUGGCUUUCAGAGAGCUGCUCUCUUUCUGUCCUCACAUGGUCUUUCCUCAGUGUGCACACACGGAACUUUGAUGUCUCUUCUUACAAAGACAUUAAUACCAUGGGAUCAGGGCCUCUCUCUAAUGACCUCAUUUAACCUUAAUUACUUCCUUACUCCAAAUAUAGCCAUGCUGGGGGUUAGGGCUUCAACAUAUGAAUUUGGAGGAGACACAUAUUUAGUCCAAAAUGAUGUUAUUUUUAGUUACAGUAGUUAUUUCAAAUUCACUCACUCCUCUGCAGUUACCCUAGUCCAUGUUACCAUAGCUUUCACUUGAGCUAUUGCAAUAGCUUCCUAACUGGGCUGCUUAAAUUAGUUCUAUGUCCUUCAUAACCCACUGUCUACUCUUAACUGUAGUGUGCUUGCAGAACCAAAAAAUUGAGCACAUCGAUGCUCGCAGUGUAUCAGUGACUUCUUGUGUUCUUAGAAUAAAGACCCAAAUCCUUAACCCUUCUUACUAAUAAGGCUCCUGUGGUCUGGUCCCCAUCUACUUCUCCAGCCUCAUAUUGUACUGUUAAUCCAUGCUUUCUGGGAUUUGCCCACACUUUUACUUUUCCCAGCCUGUUUUCCCUUGUUAACACCCACUCUUUAUUCAGAUGCCAACUCCAUCUUUACUUCCUGAAGGAAGCAAACCUCUGUGUAACUAUUGCCCACGUUAAGAAAUAAGAAACACUGUCAGUACCCCAGAACUCAUUCCUGCCUCCUACCCUUUCCCAAUCACUACCACCAUCCUUCCAUACUGUGAUAGUCAUUUUCUUGCAUUUUUUAAUGGUUUUACCAUCUAAGCAUGUAUCCCUGCAGUUUUGCUUUACAAAAACAAAAACCUUUACCUAGUGAAAUUGUAUGGCAUGUAUUCUUUUUCUGGCUUUUUUCAUUCAGUGUUGAUUAUGAGACUUAUUUGUGUCGCAUGUAGUUGUACCUAAUUUUUAUCGAAGUGUUCUUCUAUAUGACUGUGCCACAAUUUAUGUUUCCAUUUACUGCUGAUGCACAUUUGGGUUGUUUCUAGCCUUGAGUAUUAUAUACAAUGCUGCUAUGAACAUUUGUGCACAUGUCUCCUGGAGCACAUGUAUACACAUUUCUUUUGAGUCUACACCUAAGAGCAUAAUUGCUGGAUCAUGGAUGAUUAUUGUGUU